GAUGAACGCUGGCGGCGUGCCUAAUACAUGCAAGUCGAGCGAACGGACGAGAAGCUUGCUUCGCUGUUGUUAGCGGCGGACGGGUGAGUAACACGUGGAUAACCUACCUAUAUGACUGGGAUCACUUCGAGUAACCGUAGUUACUACCGGAUAAUAUUUUGAACCGCAUGGUUCAAGAGUGAAAGACGGUCUUGCUGUCACUUAUCGAUGGAUCCGCGCUGCAUUAGCUAGUUGGUAAGGUAACGGCUUACCAAGGAAACGAUGCAUAGGCGAGCUGAGAGAGGGAUCGGCCACACUGGAACGGAGACACGGUCCAUGCUCCUACGAGACGCAGCAGAAGGGAAUCGGCCGCAAUGGGCGAGAGCAUUACGGAGCAACGGCGCGUGAGUGAUGAAGGUCUUGCGAUCGUAAAACUCUGCUUUUAGGUAAGAACAUAUUUCUAAGUAGCUGUGCCCAUCGUGACGGUACCUACACAGAAAGCCCCGGCUAACUACGUG
rnacentral:rRNA from 1 species